AGAGUUUGAUCAUGGCUCAGAUUGAACGCUGGCGGCAUGCCUAACACAUGCAAGUCGAACGGAAACGAUGGGAGCUUGCUCCCAGGCGUCGAGUGGCGGACGGGUGAGUAAUGCUUAGGAAUCUGCCUAUGUAGUGGGGGACAACCUGGUGAAAACCAGGCUAAUACCGCAUAAGCCCUUCGGGGGAAAGCAGGGGAUCUUCGGACCUUGCGCUAUUGGAUGAGCCUAAGUCGGAUUAGCUUGUUGGUGGGGUAACGGCCUACCAAGGCGACGAUCCGUAGCUGGUCUGAGAGGAUGAUCAGCCACACUGGGACUGAGACACGGCCCAGACUCCUACGGGAGGCAGCAGUGGGGAAUAUUGGACAAUGGGCGCAAGCCUGAUCCAGCAAUGCCGCGUGUGUGAAGAAGGCCUGCGGGUUGUAAAGCACUUUCAGUAGCGAGGAAAAGCUCAAGGUUAAUAACCUUGAGUCUG
rnacentral:rRNA from 1 species